UUAAUAAAAUUCCUGAAAUAAAAAGGAAGCCUAUAAUUUCAUUUCUCUUGCCCAACUUCUCCACAUUUUACCUAAUAAGGUUCACAUUACUCCGCACUUACCGAAAGCCAUAAUUUAACCUUUUUUAGACUUUAAAACCUGCUAAACCAACUGCCGGAUUUCCAUUCGAAUAACCGCCCAAAUCCUUAAUCAUAGAUAAAUCCUAAACCUUAUCAAAUCUCCUCCAAAAAUUCCAAACUAUACUUCAUUAAACUCCUCUCAUUAAAACAAACCCAAAAAGCAUGAAAAACUGCCCCUAAGGGGCGGCGGCGGCGGCUGCCCCGCCGGUGGCGGCGGCCGGCAGCCGUUUUCCGGCGACCUCCAAUGCUUCUCAAAUUUUCACAGAAAAUUCCUCUCAUCAUGCUCAACAACAUUCAUAACUAGGACUUAGUCCAUUUCUAAGGCUAACUAGGGCCAAUGAAUCAAAACUUUCAUAAAUCCUUAAAAACUUCAAUUAUACAUUUCUCCAUAACAACAACGAAAUAGACUAAUUCCUUUUGAGGGAAUACUCACCUUGAUGAGGGCUACAAGAUGAGCCAAAGAUUCCGACCUAUGGUGGCCGGAGGUGGGAUUUCCGGCAAAAAGCUUCCCGGCGUCUCCGGCGAGUUUUCUCCUCUUCCAGCGGGCUAACGACUCGGGGGCUAGGCCGGGGAGAGAGAGGAGGUGAUGGGGGUCAAAACUGGGGUGGGCUGGCAGCUGGUGGCUGGCCGGAUGGUGGCAGACCACGCUGGAAAAGUCCAGCAGAAAAGAGAGCUAGGGAACUCACGGGAGAAAAGAGAGAGAAGGAAGAGGAGAAGAGAGAAAAUGGGAGGGGGGGGGGGGUCUUGGGCUGCUCCUCAGCUGGCCCAGCAAUAACCCAACUGGAAAAAAAAUUACACCCACUACUAUUUUUUUUUACCACUAUUUUUACCAUCUCCAAAAAUUACUCUUUUAAAUCAUAACUUUUUCAU
rnacentral:lncRNA from 1 species